UGUUGAGCGUGGCUCUAGCGGGACUUUGUAGGACGCAUUGAGGGUGUUAGCAUAGUUCUGAGUUUAGUCGAUCCUCAAAAAUCAUUGCUGGCAGUGUGGUUUUACCGAUUCCGUCAAAAUGCGUUGCAUGCAGGCCUCAUGGGUUUGCAUGAAGGCGUUUUUCCGGGUGGUGAUGAAUGUGGAAGACACAGUCAUGUGGGAAGCUUUGUAGGCUGGGGAGGCUCAUGUCUGAAGGAGGAAUGCAGUUACCCUUGGACUAGCUCAGAACAGAAGUCUUAUGUUGACCGAAGGGUCAGCUUGCUUGAUUUUGAUUUUCAGGUCGAAUGCGAACUGUGAAUGCGUGGCAUUUUAAGUCUUUAAGCUUUUUGAUACGUUCAGCUAGAUGUAUCAGACGAGUUGUCGCA
rnacentral:ncRNA from 1 species